rnacentral:rRNA from 1 species
UACAGAGGGUGCAAGCGUUAAUCGGAAUUACUGGGCGUAAAGCGCGCGUUAGGUGGUUCGUUAACGGUUGGAUGGUGAAAUCCCCGGGCUCAACCUGGGAACUGCAUUCAAAACUGUCGAGCUAGAAGUAUGGUAGAGGGUGGUGGAAUUUCCUGUGUAGCGGUGAAAUGCGUAGAUAGUAGGAAGGAACACCAGUGGCGAAGGCGACCACCUGGACUGAUACUGACACUGGAGGUGCGAAGGCGUGGGGAGCAAACAGG